GAAGAAAGAACAAUUGUGGGUUAAAGUCUUCAUAUUUGAAAGUUGAAUCUCAGCCUUUGAAAGGCUUUGUGAACGUGUCUUCGCGUGUGCAGCAGCACUCUGCAGCUAGAACUUUUUUUUAUUUUUCAUUCGAAUCGAUUCGAUUUUUUACCCAGAAAAGUUAGCGGUUACUGGCUCGGAUCCUCCUCUUCUUCUUCAUCCAAACCUGUAGCCCCACCUUUGAUUAUUACCGACGGAAACACGACGGAUUAAGGCGCAGCACCAAUACUGUAACACUUAGGAGAAAAGAGGCCCAAACCCGCAAAGAUUCGUUCGAACACUUGCAGGAAGAAAUAACGAGGCGGUUGAAGUGUAGUACGAAAGUUUACUUUGAAGCCAAGGUUAAGAAAAAAGAGUGGAUUUUUGGAAGGAGGCUUCGAUUCAAUUAUUGGAAUAGAUAAUAUUUAUUGAAACUUCAAUGGGUCAAUAGAAGCUGGUUGCUUGCAAAGGCAAGAACAUCAGUAUAUAUGCAUUGGAAUUUGUUGCGUUAGGAUAUGAAGAAGUGGAAAUGUACCUGAUGGAAUGAGAGUUUUGCUGCUUAAGACAAAGAAUGCUGCUAUGUCAAAGCUGGAGGAGCCAUUGUUGAUUAAUCCUAGGAAAUAUGAGGCUUUGUGGUGCUGGGAAAUGCUUAAACUGCUUGCACAUUAUGCACUCCGGACCAGAAUGAGGCAAAGGUUAUAAAAUGUGUUGUACUGCUUCCAGAAGGCUUUCAAUGAGGUUCUUCCACUUACAAAUUUGUUAUUCUUGGAAUUUGUAAUCCCGCAGCAACGCGCGGGCAUUACUAGCUAGUUACUUUAGUCUAAAGAAGGCUUUUCAAUUGCACUGUACAAAUGAAUAGUUUUUGGAUCCUAAUUUCACACUAUUUACGGACA